AUUAUUUAGUGGAGCUGUGCACCAGGAAUAUAAAGAAAAUAGAUAGGAACAGCUGAAGGGAAAACAGCUGGGCAUACUUUGUCAACAGUAGUUAAGUCAGUACAGUCUGACAGGAAAAGGUAGUGCUGUAGACAACUUGUGAAUAGCCUGACUUACAAAUGCCCCAUUUUAGAUAAGCUUUUGCAGUGACUGUUUUUCAGAUUAAAAAAAAAAAAAAAAAAGCCUAGUGGGCUGUUACUGUCUUGAUUUUCAUGUACAGGGCUAUAAUGCUUAAUUUUCAUCCCACUGUAAGAAUUCUGAUCUAUUUAGUUUUGUUGCAGUUUUCCAUUUAAAAAACUGUUUCCUGAUUCUCUGUCAUCCUCCAUGCCCCUGCAGUUGUGCUCUGGUGCCCCAUGGCUCACGUGCUUUGCCUGCCGAUGCUUCCCUGCUCCUCCUUCCUCAGGCUGAGGGCUGGGGCCGCUGGUUCUGUAAGAAAAAGAAAGGAAACAUGAAGUAUUCUGAUCACAAGCACCUCUUCACAGGAAGGAAGAACGCACUGUUUCUAAAUAUAAAUACAGGUAGUAUGCUUAAUAAAUUCAAGAAUAGCUGUUUGUUUCUGAGGGAAAAACACACACUUUGUUCUCUGUCCUGAAAGAAAGGAAGCAGGCUUUGGGAGGGACUUGCAAGGAAGCGUUGCCUUUCCAGCUGCAGUGAGCCUGGAGGUGCCGAAUGUCCCCUUGGCCAUACUUCUUCCAGAAUCUGUGACACUCUGAGACGGCCACAGCAGCUGUCUUUAGGGCUCAUCGCAUCCCUUGUACGUCCUUGCCCUAGCUACUGGCACAGUGCAUGCAGAGGGUGGGCAGGGCAGCAAGUGUUAUGGUAGGUUUGUGACCUCACUGUGUGUCAGCGAUCACCUGUCACUGAUGAGUAAGGGAACAAAUAUGAUCAAGUAGUGAGGGACCUUGUGUUCUGCAUUAUGGUCCGUGUACAAGUGAGGGAGUGUCACAAAAAUCCUGAGUGGUGUUUGUGUGUGCUGAGAUCAUCGUUUCUCUAUUGCUGGAUGCUGCGUAACUUACCUGUGAUAGUCUGUAUGAAGAGACACUUGACCUUUGUGAUGGUUUGGGUUGGCUCACUGCAAAGAUCUUUGCUGAGACAGUAUUGCUUCCUACAAUGCUGAGUCGACAGUUACAUGUUAAUUGCAAAGUAGGUAGCAGGUGUUUUAUAAAUAUGUUUGUGCUAAUGACUUCCUAAAAUGCUGUAUUUUUCAGGAUCAAUGAAGCUGUUAAGGGUUAUAGUCCUGAGAGUGGCAGAUAGCCACAGGGCUGAGACAUUAUAUAUUGCUAUCAAAGAUCAGAAUAACUAUUUAACCAUUUACAUGCAUUCAGAAUGAUGAAAAAUGUUUUUUUUUUUUUUAGCUGAGCUGAGGAAAAGAGGCCAAAAAGGAAGGAAAAAAAAAGCAUAGAGAAUGUAAAGUGAGGGAGAAAAAAUGAUGUUUGUGUUUGUGCUUUAAAACAAACAAACAAACAAACAACACAACAUCACCUUAAAUGUUUUUACUGUCUAAAAUAGUAUGCCUUGUAUGAGGUACUACUGAGAUGUUGGUGUGUUUUCAGGUGAUUAUCUCAUGAUAUGUUUUGAUGAAGUCUACAAUUGCAAUGACAAUUAGUUUCCACUGGUGGUAAUUUAUAAAGCCUUUAGCUUGCACUCUUACCAUUUGUCCCUACUCUGCAGAUCAAGUUCUUUUAUUCCUUCACAGACAUUAUUUUUUCUUACAGUAUGUCAACUUCUUUUCUGUAAUCAUAUUUAUCUAAAGAGAUUAAAACAGAGUAACUCUAAGGCUCCCAUAACACAAACCCAUUCUUUCUCAGAGUUGGCCUUUUCUUUGAUUAUUUCUAGUCACAGGUAUAGCAGCAUUGCUUUAAUGAGUUCUGUGUUUUGAAACUUAAUUGCCUUUAAUUUACUCCCUGUAGUAUUUGCUGCAAGUACUAUUUUAGUAGCUAAAUCACUGGAAAGUUUCUUAAAUAACUUGAAAAAAGCAAAAAAUAAAAAAAUAAUAAUAAAAAAAAAUUAGAAGUGA
rnacentral:lncRNA from 1 species